GAGAUGCGAUAAGUAAUGUGAAUUGCAGAAUUCAGUGAAUCAUCGAAUCUUUGAACGCACAUUGCGCCCGCCAGUAUUCUGGCGGGCAUGCCUGUUCGAGCGUCAUUACAACCCUCAGGCCCCCGGGCCUGGCGUUGGGGAUCGGCGGAAGCCCCCUGCGGGCACAACGCCGUCCCCCAAAUACAGUGGCGGUCCCGCCGCAGCUUCCAUUGCGUAGUAGCUAACACCUCGCAACUGGAGAGCGGCGCGGCCACGCCGUAAAACACCCAACUUCUGAAUGUUGACCUCGAAUCAGGUAGGAAUACCCGCUGAACUUAAGC
rnacentral:misc_RNA from 1 species